rnacentral:rRNA from 1 species
CCUACGGGUGGCAGCAGUGGGGAAUAUUGGACAAUGGGCGAAAGCCUGAUCCAGCCAUGCCGCGUGUGUGAAGAAGGCCUUCGGGUUGUAAAGCACUUUCAGUGGGGAAGAAAGCCUUGGGGCUAAUACCCUCGAGGAAGGACAUCACCCACAGAAGAAGCACCGGCUAACUCCGUGCCAGCAGCCGCGGUAAUACGGAGGGUGCGAGCGUUAAUCGGAAUUAAUGGGCGUAAAGCGCGCGUAGGCGGUCUGAUAAGCCGGUUGUGAAAGCCCCGGGCUCAACCUGGGAACGGCAUCCGGAACUGUCAGGCUAGAGUGCAGGAGAGGAAGGUAGAAUUCCCGGUGUAGCGGUGAAAUGCGUAGAGAUCGGGAGGAAUACCAGUGGCGAAGGCGGCCUUCUGGACUGACACUGACGCUGAGGUGCGAAAGCGUGGGUAGCAAACAGGAUUAGAUACCCGUGUAGUC